UAACCGGACGCGUCCUCGCGAGUUCGUUCUCCUGAGUCGUUGGCCCGAACUACCAAGUUCGAACCAACUGCCAAGGACGCAAGUCCGAAGUUAAAUAAAACGGGUGAAUUCUGGGAAAACGGAACCUGACUCGACUGAGCACCCCAAUCAAGUGUGCAUGCUUUCACUUUCACUUUCACUCGGCAGCAGCAGCAUUAUUCUCUAAGAUAGCGUGUCUGGUAAUGACUCAGAAUAACAAAUUUAACGAUGGGAGGAGCCUUAGCCCAACUGAAUUGUGCAGUUUAAAUAAAGAUCCGUAGCCUAGCCUACUUUAAAAACAAAUCUCUUCGCUAACGUUGCAGUCUCCUUGCUCCAAAUCACUUUCAAGAGUCAUGGCGUGUGGAGGGCUCAUGUCCGCCCCGGUGUGUCUCAUUGAAAAUGAUGAGAAUGGGAAGCUGUGUGUUAGAAAACAGGCUAAAGAUAUUCUGGAUGGGAUCAAGGAGCCGGUGGUGGUGGUGUCUGUGGUGGGACUCUACCGUACGGGGAAAUCCUACCUUAUGAACCGCCUGGCAGGACAACAGUCCGGUGAGAGAAAAAUGUUAUCCAAGAUAGGCUACU